rnacentral:rRNA from 1 species
AUUGAACGCUGGCGGCAUGCCUUACACAUGCAAGUCGAACGGCAGCACGGGUGCUUGCACCUGGUGGCGAGUGGCGAACGGGUGAGUAAUACAUCGGAACAUGUCCUGUAGUGGGGGAUAGCCCGGCGAAAGCCGGAUUAAUACCGCAUACGAUCCACGGAUGAAAGCGGGGGACCUUCGGGCCUCGCGCUAUAGGGUUGGCCGAUGGCUGAUUAGCUAGUUGGUGGGGUAAAGGCCUACCAAGGCGACGAUCAGUAGCUGGUCUGAGAGGACGACCAGCCACACUGGGACUGAGACACGGCCCAGACUCCUACGGGAGGCAGCAGUGGGGAAUUUUGGACAAUGGGCGAAAGCCUGAUCCAGCAAUGCCGCGUGUGUGAAGAAGGCCUUCGGGUUGUAAAGCACUUUUGUCCGGAAAGAAAUCCUUGGCUCUAAUACAGUCGGGGGAUGACGGUACCGGAAGAAUAAGCACCGGCUAACUACGUA